rnacentral:rRNA from 1 species
UACGUAGGGUGCGAGCGUUGUCCGGAAUUAUUGGGCGUAAAGAGCUUGUAGGCGGUUUUUCGCGUCUGCCGUGAAAAUCCGGGGCUCAACCCCGGACUUGCGGUGGGUACGGGCAGACUAGAGUGUGGUAGGGGAGACUGGAAUUCCUGGUGUAGCGGUGAAAUGCGCAGAUAUCAGGAGGAACACCGAUGGCGAAGGCAGGUCUCUGGGCCACUACUGACGCUGAGAAGCGAAAGCGUGGGGAGCGAACAGG